GCACUGCACGUAUGAGGCACACAUGCACAUGCAUGUGCCCAUGAGAAAUGCUUUGGAAACAGUUCCAGGAGCUCUGCUGUUGGACACAAUUGUGUGGCCGCCUGUGUUUUUCCCUUUUGUGUUUUUACACUUUCAUCUCAUCACCUACACUCUUUGUGCUGAUCUCCACCACUUCAUAGAAGGUGUUCAUCCGUGGAAUUAAACAGAAAGUCCGUCCUAAACACCAUUCAUCAGAAACUUUAGUCAAUAUUUUCUGAUUCCGCUUUUGUAAAAACCCUGCAAGGGAAGUUUUGACUUUUGCUUUGACCAUGUGAUCAGUGAAGCACAGAGAGGAUCAGCAACUCCCUGGAGGGCACACAGCUGGCAGCAGGUAGAGCCAAGAUUUGGAUCUCGCUCCAGAACUUGUGUUUUACACAUUGACCUUAGACUGAAUGAUGCUAAUCUUUUCUUUGUAAAUUAUUUUUUUCUGUAUAUUUGUCUGUGAUUGUUGUGCCUCUUCUAAUUAAGAGAUUUUAUUGCUGGGGCAAUGAUCUCACAGCCCAAUGACCUGUUAUGAUUUGGAACUCAGGGUACUCAAAGGCUUCAUCCAUAUCCAAACUUCGGCAUCUCCUGAGGUCCUGCAUUCUCGGCGGCUCCCAGGGCGGCUCAGCAGGAAGCUGGGCAUGGCCUUGUGCUACCAGGCAGAGCCUGUACCUCGUCAGAGACAGAACAAAGGCAGUUUGGAUUUGGGGAUCCCAUACAUCUUUUAUAUUCCCCAUCCAUUAUUGCUGGUCCUGAACGGUAUCUGCUUUAGAGCAACUGGUGGCCUCCCUCAAAACAGCUAUCCUGCUCCUCUGUCACAUCAGAGCAACAGAAAUAAGAACUUAAAACAGCACUGACAAGUCACCCAGUUUCCAGGUAAAAAAACUUGGCUUUGGCUGAAUCACUGGAACCAGGUACUUAAGAAUGUGGCCCAAAGUAACAACCUAUCUUGAGAGAAAAAUAUACUAUGUUCAUUACUUAACAGUCUUCACAAAGACAACCUACCCUUCUCCUCUGGUGUUAACUGAGGGUGAGUGUAGCCUUGUCUCUCACUAUGAGAUUGUACUUUGAGAAUCCGAAUUGUCAGUGGGGAGUGAUAGGGUCACAGAGUUUCAGCACAGACAUGGACCUGCAGGCAGCAGGACCCACGUGCAGCUGUUUAUUUAAUUGGUAUGUAUUCUUUAUACAUUAUGUUGUUUUAAUUGGUGUGUAUUCUUUAUAUAUGUAAUGAUGAGUCCCAUAAGGACAUUUUUAUUUCUGAAAUAAAAUUUUCCUUACCCUUUGAGAAUUUCAUAGGGGUGUACAAUGUGUUUGGAUCAGACCCUGAAAACAGCAGUUUUACUCUUCUUUGUGGCUGAAUAGAUUCACACCGUGAGCAAGUCACACAUUCAUUAUCUAUUCCUCCUGACGGACAUUGAAGGGAAUUCUGGAACCUAGCUGUUGCGAACAGUACUGAGAUGCACUGACAUUUUCUCCUGCUUUAACCAAAAGAACACAGAUUGGCUUCUUUCCCAGCACUGGACUAAGCUUAAGGCAAAUGACAGACCAGAGAGACCAACAAUAUCCCAGUGACAUCUGUUCUUUUAGCUCUGAUUCUUAUUCUGUGGGUCAAUAAACAC
rnacentral:lncRNA from 1 species